rnacentral:rRNA from 1 species
GACGAACGCUGGCGGCGUGCUUAACACAUGCAAGUCGAACGGAAAGGCCCUGCUUUUGUGGGGUGCUCGAUUGGCGAACGCGUGAGUAUCACGCGAGUAACCUGCCCCUGACUUUGGGAUAACUUCAGGGAACUGGGGCUAAUACCCGAUAGGAGCUCCUGCUGCAUGGUGGGGGUUGGAAAGAGUCGGCGGUUGGGGAUGGACUCGCGGGUUAUCCGCUUGUUGGUGUGGUAGUGGCUUUCCAAGGCUUUGAAGGGUAGCCGGCCUGAGAGGGUGACCGGCCACAUUGGGACUACGAUACGGAGCAGACUCCUACGGGAGGCAGUGGUGGGGAAUAUGGCAGAAUGGGCGGAAGCGUGAGGCAGCAACGCCGCGUGCGGGAUGAUGGGCUUCGGGUUGUAAACCGAUUUCGCCUGUGACGAGGAGUGAGUGACGGUAAUGGGUAAAGAAGCACCGGCUAACUACGUG